ACACACACACACACAUAUAUAUAUGUACACACACACACACACACAUAUAUAUACAUACACAGUAUAUAUAUGUGUGUGUGUGUGU